rnacentral:rRNA from 1 species
CACGUAGGGUGCGAGCGUUGUCCGGAAUUAUUGGGCGUAAAGAGCUCGUAGGCGGUGUGUCGCGUCGGCCGUGAAAACCUGCAGCUUAACUGUGGGCUUGCGGUCGAUACGGGCAUCACUGGAGUUCGGCAGGGGAGACUGGAAUUCCUGGUGUAGCGGUGAAAUGCGCAGAUAUCAGGAGGGAACACCGGUGGGCCGAAGGCGGGUCUCUGGGCCGAUACUGACGC